ACACGACCGUACCGCAAACCGACACUGGUGCGCGAGAUGAGUAUUCUAAGGCGCUUGAGAGAACUCAGGAGAAGGAACUCGGCAAAUUGACACCGUAACUUCGGAAGAAGGUGUGCCUUUAGUAGGUGAACCUGUACAAGGGGAGCCCAAUGAGGUUGCAAAAAAUCGGUGGCUGCGACUGUUUAAUAAAAACACAGCACUCUGCAAACACGAAAGUGGACGUAUAGGGUGACGCCUGCCCGGUGCUGGAAGAUUAAAUGAUGGGGGUGCAAGCUCUUGAUUGAAGUCCCAGUAAACGGCGGCCGUAACUAUAACGGUCCUAAGGUAGCGAAAUUCCUUGUCGGGUAAGUUCCGACCUGCACGAAUGGCGUAACGAUGGCCACACUGUCUCCUCCUGAGACUCAGCGAAGUUGAAAUGUUUGUGAUGAUGCAAUCUCCCCGCGGAAAGACGGAAAGACCCCAUGAACCUUUACUGUAGCUUUGUAUUGGACUUUGAACAGAUCUGUGUAGGAUAGGUGGGAGGCUUUGAAGUGUGGUCGCUAGAUCGCAUGGAGCCAACGUUGAAAUACCACCCUGGUGUGUUUGAGGUUCUAACCUAGGCCCGUAAUCCGGGUCGGGGACAGUGCAUGGUAGGCAGUUUGACUGGGGCGGUCUCCUCCCAAAGCGUAACGGAGGAGUUCGAAGGUACGCUAGGUACGGUCGGACAUCGUGCUAAUAGUGCAAUGGCAUAAGCGUGCUUAACUGCGAGACUGACAAGUCGAGCAGAUGCGAAAGCAGGACAUAGUGAUCCGGUGGUUCUGUAUGGAAGGGCCAUCGCUCAACGGAUAAAAGGUACUCUGGGGAUAACAGGCUGAUACCGCCCAAGAGUUCAUAUCGACGGCGGUGUUUGGCACCUCGAUGUCGGCUCAUCUCAUCCUGGGGCUGUAGCCGGUCCCAAGGGUAUGGCUGUUCGCCAUUUAAAGAGGUACGUGAGCUGGGUUUAAAACGUCGUGAGACAGUUUGGUCCCUAUCUUCCGUGGGCGCUGCAGAUUUGAGGAAGCCUGCUCCUAGUACGAGAGGACCGGAGUGGACACACCUCUGGUGUAUCGGUUGUCACGCCAGUGGCAUUGCCGAGUAGCUAUGUGUGGAAGAGAUAACCGCUGAAAGCAUCUAAGCGGGAAACUCGUUUCAAGAUGAGAUCUGCCGGGGCCUUGAGCCCCCUAAAGAGUCGUUCAAGACCAGGACGUUGAUAGGUCGGGUGUGGAAGCGCAGUAAUGCGUUAAGCUAACCGAUACUAAUUGCUCGUGCGGCUUGACC
rnacentral:rRNA from 1 species